rnacentral:rRNA from 1 species
GCUGGCGGCGUGCUUAACACAUGCAAGUCGAGCGGAGAUUGAUUGAUGUAAUCUUUGCGGGGGACGGGUGAGUACGGCGUAGGUAAUCUGGCUUGCGCAGAGGGAUAAUGAACGGGAGGAUGGUGCUAGUACCACAUGAUAUCAUACCGAUGCAUCUUGAACUGAUCAUGGGAGAAGUCUGGUGCGGGAUGGGCCUGAGUCCGAUUAGUUAGUUGGUGAUGUCCGGCUCGCCAGUGCGACCAUCGCUAGGCGAACUGAGAGGUUGAUCGGGCACAUUGGGACUGACACACUGCCCAUACUCCUACGGGAGGCCUCCUUGGGGAAUCUUGCGCGAUGAGUGUAACCCUGACGCAGCAACCCCGAGUGAAGGAAGACGGCCUUCGGGUUGUAGACUUCUUUGAUUGGGGAAGAAAGAAAUGACGGUACCCAAGGAACAUGCCCCGGCUAACUACGUGCCAGCAGCCGCGGUCCUACGUACGUGGCGAGCGUUGUCCUGGCGUUCGUGGGUCUGAAUGGCGUGUUGGCGGGAUCGUGUGUCCGAUGUGAGAUUCCAGGGCUUAACUCUCGAGGUGCAUCUGCGACUGUGCUUCUUGAGUGCUGGAGCGGAAAUCGCAGUUCCUAGUGUAGCGGUGACAUGCGUAGAUAUUAGGAAGAACAGCAGUGGCGAAGGCGGCUUUCUGGACGGUAACUGACGCUGAAGCGCUAAAGCGUGGGGAGCAAAGCGGUAUUGAUACCCUGGUUUUCCACGCUGUAUACGAUGGAUAGUAGGUGUAGGAGGUAAUCGACCCCUUCUGUGCCGGAGGUAACACAAAAAGUAUCCCACCUGGGGAGUACGGCCGCAAGGCUGAAACUCAAAGGAAUUGACGGGGGCCCGCACAAGCAGUGGAGUAUGUGGUUUAAUUCGAAGCAACGCGAAGAACCUUACCAGGGCUUGACAUCCCUCGAACAACAUAGAGACAAGGUAGUCCUUCGGGACGAGGAGACAGGUGGUGCAUGGUUGUCGUCAGCUCGUGUCGUGAGAUGUUGGGUUAAGUCCCGCAACGAGCGCAACCCCUAUUGUUAGUUGCCAUCAUUAAGUUGGGCACUCUGACGAGACUGCCGGUGACAAAUCGGAGGAAGGUGGGGACGACGUCAAAUCAUCAUGCCCCUUAUGUCCCUGGGCUACACACGUACUACAAUGGUCACUACAAAGGGAAGCAAUACCGCAAGGAGGAGCAAAUCCCCAAAGCUGACCUCAGUUCGGAUUGUGGGCUGAAACCCGCCCACAUGAAGUCGGAAUUGCUAGUAAUGGCAGGUCAGCAUACUGCUCGUGAAUACGUUCCCGGGCCUUGUACACACCGCCCGUCACACCAUGAGAGUUUGCAACACCCGAAGUCAGUAGUCCCAACCGUAAGGAGGGCGCUGCCGAAGGUGGGGC